rnacentral:rRNA from 1 species
UGGGGAAUUUUGGACAAUGGGCGAAAGCCUGAUCCAGCAAUGCCGCGUGUGUGAAGAAGGCCUUCGGGUUGUAAAGCACUUUUGUCCGGAAAGAAAUGGCUCUGGUUAAUACCUGGGGUCGAUGACGGUACCGGAAGAAUAAGGACCGGCUAACUACGUGCCAGCAGCCGCGGUAAUACGUGGGGUCCAAGCGUUAAUCGGAAUUACUGGGCGUAAAGCGUGCGCAGGCGGUGGGGCACGUGCGGUUGG